GAUGAAGAACGUAGCGAAAUGCGAUAAGUAAUGCGAAUUGCAGAAUUCAGUGAAUCAUCGAAUCUUUGAACGCACAUUGCGCCCGCCAGCACUCUGGCGGGCAUGCCUGUUCGAGCGUCAUUUCAACCAUCAAGCCCCCAGGGGCUUGUGCUGGGGCCCUGCGGCUGCCCGCAGGCCCUGAAAACCAGUGGCGGGCUCGCUAGUCACACCGAGCGCAGUAGCACAUCUCGCUCAGGGCGUGCGGCGGGCUCCUGCCGUGAAACCCCCCACUGUAACCCCAAAGGUUGACCUCGGAUCAGGUAGGAAUACCCGCUGAACUUAAGCAUAUCAAUAAGCGGAGGA
rnacentral:misc_RNA from 1 species